UGUGUGUUGGUCUGAGAGGUUGAAGCUGCCAGCAUGAUCUGGUGUUGAUGGCAAGUCCGUGUUUUGCCCCUUCGUAAUUGAAAAACUUGAUCUUGAUUUCUUUCGUGUAUACAAUUUUUUUGAUGUUUUUUUUUUCGAUCUCAAACAAUCAGAAAUACUAUAUAUAUAUAUAUCAAUUUAAUUUAUAUACAAAUUAUACACAAAUUAAUUUCGAUUUGAGAUUUCAAUAUGUAGAUUGGGUAAGAUAUCAUCAGGUCAUCUAGCAGCUUCAAUCACUCACCAAUCACU
rnacentral:pre_miRNA from 1 species